rnacentral:rRNA from 1 species
GACGAACGCUGGCGGCGUGCUUAACACAUGCAAGUCGAACGGAAAGGCCCUGCUUUUGUGGGGUGCUCGAGGGGGGAACGGGUGAGUAACACGUGAGUAACCGGCCCUUCACUUUGGGAUAACUUCAGGAAACGGGGGCUAAUACAGGAUAGGAGCUCCUGCUGCAUGGUGGGGGUUGGAAAGUUUCGGCUGUUGCGGAUGGACGCGCGGCUUACCAGCUUGCUGGUGGGGGGGUGGCUGACCAAGGCUUUGGAGGGUAGGCGGCCGGGGUGGGUGACCGGCCACAAUGGGACUGAGGUACGGCCCAGGCUCCUACCGGGGGCAGCAGGGGGGAAUCUUGCCCAAUGGGCGGGAGCCUGAUGCAGAAACCCCGCGGUCGGGAUGACGGCCUUUGGGUUGUAAACCGCUUUCGCCUGUGACCAAGCGUGAGUGACGGUAACGGGUGAAGAAGCACCGGCUAACUUCGUG